AGAAGUCUUGGCCGGAAAUCGGCCACGUGGGGGUCGAAUUUGGCUAUAAAUAGCCAAGGGUUUCGGCCGAAAAUGAAGCAUCAAAUUGCUCGAUUUUGAGAGUAAAUCGAGGGAAACCAAUAAGGGGCUUUUGAUCCUUGAGGGAAGGGGAUCAUUUCUGGAGAUUUUGGGAAUUUUUGGGGUAGUAUAGAGGGUGUUUUCGCAUAUAUAUACAUUCGGCCGUAUAUAUAUAUAUAUAUAUUUUGCGUGAAAUACCAAAUCGGGUUGUAGAGCGAUCGAUCGAGCGAUCUAAUAAGGGGCUUUUGUUCGAAAGGUGAUGGGUAACUGAUCUGGAAAUUUUCGUGCCAAUCGGAGUUCGAAUCCAGGGUCAAUUUGAUUGGCCGGAGUUCGGUGGCGGGAUAGCUUCGGCCGACAGUUUUUGGCCAAAUCGGAAGGCUUCCGGUGGUCUUUUCCGAGCAAGAUUGGUACCAUUGGGAUCGACUAAGGGAGAGGAUCAGCCUGGUGUCGUCGCUUCAAUUUUCCGGUGUACCGUCGCCGGAGAAGAUGACCGGAGGGUGCCUUGAGGGUUGAGACGAAGUGACUCGUGCGAAGUUCGAAGAAGGCACGCAAAUCGAGACAGGCACGCAAAUCGAGGCAAACUGCGCUUUUUAAGAAGAAUUCGAAUUGCGCCCAAAAGUGAAAGCAGUGGCGCCAAGGGAAAGAAUAUCAUCGAGAUGUAGCAGCUAUGUUUAGUUUUCGUAGGUUUUGUCCAUGAUUACGAUGUUCAGAGGUUAUGUAAUAUUUUGAUAUUUUCAUGUGAAACAUCGAUUUGGUUAUUGUAAAGGAAUUGUCGGUUAUAUAUCAUUGAGGUUUCGAUCUUGCUUCCGCUGAUGUGAUUGUUGAUACCUGUCUUAGUUUAUUAUUAAAUUUUGAUAUGCUAAGAAGGUACGAUCGAUAUUGACGGAAAAUGAUUAUGAUGAAGGUAUAUGUAUUGAGAGACUUAUGUUGUGUGUUCGAUGUUGAAAAAAAAAUAUAUAUUCUCGAAAUCUCGAGUUAACGCUCGUUGUGGGAAAAUGGGGUGUUACAAAGGGUAUGAAGCGACCCUGUCCGAUGUCCGAGCUACUUUCUUGGAGCUAGAUCUUUCAAGUUUUGGCUUUCUCGAGAGAAGUCGAGUCGAGCCGUGAUUUUGUACGGUAGCGUAGAUUUUUGGCAUUUGUCUUGUAAUUUUGUUGAGUGCUUCUUGGUUAAUAACAAAUCGCACUUAUUUCCUUAUCGGGAUGGUUGUUCCUGUCUUUCUCCUCGUGUGUGUCUUGCUUUGUCCUUGCAGUUUUGAUGUCCUGGCUAGUUUAUCGUGACCGU